rnacentral:lncRNA from 1 species
GCCCUAAAGUACUCUCUGUAACAAUGCCCCAGUAUCUAAUUCACUCUUUAUAACAAUGUCCCCAGUUAAUUAUAUGCUCUUUAUAACAAUGCCCUAAAGUACUCUCUGUAACAAUGCCCCAGUAUCUAAUGCACUCUUUAUAACAAUGUCCCCAGUUAAUUAUAUGCUCUUUAUAACAAUGCCCUAAAGUACUCUCUGUAACAAUGCCCCAGUAUCUAAUUCACUCUUUAUAACAAUGUCCCCAGUUAAUUAUAUGCUCUUUAUAACAAUGCCCUAAAGUACUCUCUGUAACAAUGCCCCAGUAUCUAAUUCACUCUUUAUAACAAUGCCCCGGCAACUAAUGCACUCUUUAUAACAAUGCCCUAAAGUACUCUCUGUAACAAUGCCCCAGUAUCUAAUUCACUCUUUAUAACAAUGUCCCCAGUUAAUUAUAUGCUCUUUAUAACAAUGCCCUAAAGUACUCUCUGUAACAAUGCCCCAGUAUCUAAUGCACUCUUUAUAACAAUGUCCCCAGUUAAUUAUAUGCUCUUUAUAACAAUGCCCUAAAGUACUCUCUGUAACAAUGCCCCAGUAUCUAAUGCACUCUUUAUAACAAUGUCCCCAGUUAAUUAUAUGCUCUUUAUAACAAUGCCCUAAAGUACUCUCUGUAACAAUGCCCCAGUAUCUAAUUCACUCUUUAUAACAAUUCCCCGGCAACUAAUGCACUCUUUAUUACAAUGUCCCAGCAACUAAUGCACUCUUUAUAACAAUGCCCUAAGUACCUAAUGUACUCUCUGUAACAAUGAUCUGUAUCUGAUUCACUCUUUAUAACAAUGUCCAUAUACAUAAUGCACUCUUUAUAACAAUGCCCCAGCACCUAAUGUACUCUUUGUAUCUCUGUAUAAGCUACAUUAGGCACUUAAUGAUCAUGGUAUACUUCUUGCCCUUUCUGUUAGUUUACAGUGAUUGUCUUAUUCAAUGUUGCAAUGUUAACAGACACCAUGCCCUUGUAUUGCCUAAUGCUGCACAUCUUGUGUGCUUGCCUGUAUGCCCAUGUUUACAGCGGUGUAGCUGCCUGUGUUGUACUGCCUCCUUAUAGUCUGUAGUAUUGGUGGAGUGUUGCACCUUGAGCAAAGGGACUUGGACUUGCCAGGGCCGUCAACUGGUCCUUGUGAAGAUAUUACAGUUGUACAUCGCUAAGUGGACACUUAAUUUGUCCUGGACCCCAUUCUACUCCACAAAGCCAUCCUAGUGCCUAACCUUGUGGAAUCAUCAGGGGACCAAGGCUGUCAACUGGUCCUUAUGAAGAUAUUAAGGGAAGUACUGGAGCUGUACAUCGCUCAGUGGACACUUUGUCCUGGACCGCUUCCACUCCACAAAGGUGUCCUAGUGCCUAACCUUGUGGAAUUGGGACCUGGGCUGUCGACUGGUCCUUAUGAAGAUAUUAAUGGGAAGUGCUAGAGCUGUACAUCGCUCAGUGGACACUUUGUCCUGGACCCAGAUCCACUCCACAAAACUGUCCUGGUGCUUAACUUUGUGGAAUGGGAACCAAGGCUGUCAACUGGUCCUUGUGAAGACUAACUGAGUAUGGUUUUACGCCGCUUUUAGCAAUACCGAUAUUCCAGCAAUAUCAUGGCAGGGUUUGGGGCACCACAAAUGGGCUUCACAUAUUGUACCCGGGUCUUCUGAGUGAUCCUUAUGAAGAUAUUAAGGGGAAGAACUAGAGCUAUACAUCGCUCAGUUGAUGCUUUGUCCUGGACCCUGUUCCACUCCACAAAGCUGUCCUUGUGCUUAACUUUUUGGAAUGGGGCCUGGGUUAGAUUCCAAAUCUAUCUCAAAUUCUGUCCAUCUUUCACCAGACAGUCAAGGGAGUAUUUUAGUUUUGAGGAUAGUCACAGACCAUUGCAGACCUAGCAAGUGAAGACCCAGGCUCCAGUGCAAUUCACAGCAAGUCUUAUGUGAGCUAUGAGCAUAAUAUCCUCAUUCUUCACCAGUGUGGGUUACAUAUACAUAAUAUAUACACACACAUAAUAUAUGCAUUUAUAGCUGUGGUAUUUACUGCCUUUAUUAGUGUAUUAUUUAACAUGUAGUUUAUUCAUUAAGUAUUUUGCUUGUUAUACAUAUCUACUUUUAUGCACAAUCUUUUGUCUGUGUGAGACUUGUGAUAUUGGAGAUGUUAAACAAAGGGAGACAACCCUGCUGUAUAUGAUGUCCAGUGACACAUCUGUGUUAAGUCCCUUUAAUAACCCUUGUAUUAUUUGAAAUGGGGUUUGGUUAAACAGUAUCAGAUAUUGUGAUAGUUUACAGAAGAAAUGGAAUCUCCCCAUGUGUUACAUAUCAUUGCCAGUCUAAUAUUUCAGUAUUUACUUACUGCUUUCAAAUUACCAGCAGAGUGCUGUGACAAAGAUAGGUCCCAUUUCACCAUUUCAGUGAUGUUCUUCAUCAACGAAGUCUUAAAGAUUGUUUUUUUUCUUUGUUAACAAGCUUGACCUAUACUCUGCUGUAGCUGUUAGUAAUGCAGUUGCUGCCGUCGUUGUGUAGCUUACUGUGUGCAAUAAAUCUGUCAGUCAACCA